ACCAGUUAUAAAAAAGUGAAUGAGUUAUUAUUAUUUAUGAGUUAUAAAUUUUUUUACCCCCUCACAGUUGUCAUGAAGGGCAAAAUUAGCUAUACAGACCAAAAUCAUUUUUUGAACCAGGCUGUAAACAUGUUUUUUUCUGCUGUAAAGUUGGGCAUUUUAACAUGGGGAGUCUAUGGGACUGACUCCCUUUUGCAGCCAGCCUCAAGCGGCCAGUCGAUGAAUUACAGUUUUAAUCACUUCUUUUUUGUCUUCACGGGAAGAUAGAGUUAGGUUGCGUGGUCGAGCGUGACUCAAAACUUAAGUGUAUAACUUCACCACUGCAUGAAGUACCAAACCUUGAUAGUGUUUCUAAGCAAAUGCUAUGCGUGUGAGCCUGUGAGUGCGUUCUUCUAUUCUUGUAUGCUCAUGCUCGCAUUUGAGGAGGUUGUGGUGUAGAGAGCUGCCGAUUUAUUUUGUAAAUAUUGUGUGAUGAUAUGAAUGUUUUUUUCAGGCCCAGUAGUUCAGUGAGUGACACGGAACACAAACAGAAAAGAAAGAACAAGAAGAUGAGAGAGAUGAAGAUGGAGGAAGAACCACAACCCAGUGAAUCAACACAAGAGAAACUUGUUAAAUGGGGCAGCAUGACUCUUAUAAAACCAGACUUGUCUCAUGAAGCUGAUCGAUCAGAAAGUCAAUCUGAUGUUUCAGAAAGAAGCAAAGAUGAGAUCAUUUGAAUGGCAGCAGACAGAAAACCUGCUCUGAAUAACUCAUUUCAUGAUUUCAAAUCCCUGUAAGAAGUGUCUUUAAUGCGUCUUAUAUUGUGCGCAGUAUUGGGAAGGUUACUUUGGAAAUGUAAUAGGUUACAGAUUACAAGUUACCCUAUUUAAAAUUUAAUUGUAGUGUAACUUUUUCAAUUACUUUAAUAAAGUAAUGUAACUGAUUACUUUUGAUUACUUU
ensembl:lncRNA